UCCCUCUCAGGAUCGCACCUGGAGAGUUUCCAGUACUCUACCGAUCUCGGCUACGGGAGGUAGAGUCAAGCAGAGGCCUACCCCAUUCCAUUCCUAGCUUAGGCAGCGGCUAGUGAGCGGAAGGCAAUCUGCUACAAGU
rfam:Ornithorhynchus anatinus chromosome 2, whole genome shotgun sequence.